AUACGUAUGGUGCAAGCGUUAUCCGGGUUUACUGGGUGUAAAGGGAGCGUAGACGGCUGUGUAAGUCUGAAGUGAAAGCCCGGGGCUCAACCCCGGGACUGCUUUGGAAACUAUGCAGCUGGAGUAUCGGAGAGGCAAGUGGAAUUCCCAGUGUAGCGGUGAAAUGCGUAGAUAUUGGGAGGAACACCAGUGGCGAAGGCGGCUUGCUGGACGAUAACUGACGUUGAGGCUCGAAAGCGUGGGGAGC
rnacentral:rRNA from 1 species